UUUAUGUAGCUAGAAAAAUUCUUGCCUGAGAAGUUCGUUAUUCAAAUAUUUUAGAGGAGCUCUAUAAUUUUGGGAUAAAAGACAGAGAUAACACAAGAAAUAAUAAAGCCCCCUAUUGUGGAGGAGGGUCGAUGGUGGACACUUUUAACCAUGCAAUUACAUCCUCAGAUCAGAUGCAUGCGCAUGGAUGCUUCUCUUUCCUGCAGCUUGACGGUGUAUUCUUUACAAUGGUUAAAGCUUUGCUGUAGCUUUUCCAGCCACUGGUGGGAGUCCAACUCACCCAACGAACAGGUGUCCUUGGUGUUCGAGGAACAAGGCGUCAAGUCUCUUGGCCUAUAAAUUACCCUAACUUGAACCAGCGGUGCAUCAUUCUAGCAACUCCCAGUCUCCCAUCACACAGCACUAUGCCCGUCGCAAUACCACUGACAAUACUACCCCCCCCCACAGUUCCUCCCUCCUUCCACACGGUAAAAAGCAGGGAGGAACUGAAGGAAUGGCUGAAGCAGUUCGACAUCGACAAGGAUGGACGCAUAAGCCGCCAAGAGCUGCGACAGGCCAUCCAUGCCGCAAGCAUCUAUAAACACAAUAAAUGGCUGCGCAACUAUCUUGCUGGCAGACGUGGAGUCCGGAAUGCUGACAUCAAUCGAAAUGGUUUCGUCGACGAGGACGAGAUGGACAACCUUGUGGAUUUUGUGGCCGAGAUUGCGGGGCUACGUUUUAUUCCGGGCAAGUAGCACCAAUUAUAUAUAUAGUGGUAGUAUAGUAAUAAUCUUGACGUUGGUGUCUAUGCCAAGGAAGCUUCGAAUGACUUCGAACUCUGUAUGCAUUUCCUUUUAUCUAUAGCAUGACAUCUUUAACUCU